AAAUUUAGCAAAAAGUGUGCUAGAAUGUUGGGCAUUUUGGAAAAAUUCAAGAACAAUCAUAGAAUGUAAUUUAAGAGUUAAGAACAUUAAAAAAAACCCUGCUGGACCUAAAGGGGUUUGUGUAAUCAUGAGAUGGAGAACGUGCGACCCUCCACAGUUUGUUGGACUACCUGACCACUGGACACCCUGGCUGGUGCUGAUGGGAGUUGGAGUCCCACAACAUCUGGAGGGCCACAGGUUACCCACCCCUGACUAGCCCAACAUCCUGCCCAGUCAGUGGCCAGCCAGAUGCUACUAGGAAACCUACAACAGAGCUGUUGAACUGGGAGCAGGUAAGCUUGAAAUAACUGACCUGCAGGAUCAAACCAAAUGCCCUUAAUCUAGUCCAGCAUUCACCCUCCAUUUCCAGCAGCAGCCAGUUACAUCACAGAAACUCUCAAGCAAGGCACAAGCAAGGCUCUGUUGUCCCACCCCACCCCCGGCACCUGGUAAUCAGAGUCGUAAAGAAUAAAAAUAUGAUGUGAAGCUGCA